rnacentral:lncRNA from 1 species
GGGGAGUCUGAGGCUGCCCUGCCGUCUCCUGUCUGGGGUCGUGAUGCAGUGGGGCCUGUCAUGAGUGGUCCAGACGUGUACCCCCGGAGGUGGAACAGUGACAGCCUCAGGUGCCCUGGUGCCUCCUCCUUCCCGGCUCUUCCUGGCACUCUGCUUCCUUCUCCUAACCUGAGAGCCACACGCUAUUUCUUCUUGUCCAUCUAGAAACCAAGGACAUCUGGAAGGGGUCUUCCACCUUAGACCCUAACAGGGGAAGUGCAACGCAGCUUUCUGGCCGCGCUGACCCGACAGGGCUGCUCCGAUGGGGAAGCGUGGCCACUCGCACAGAUGUUCAUUUGCACAGCAUCAGACCACACAGCAGCUGGGGCCCUUUGUCCCACCGGCCAUGGGAGCCCACAGUCAGCCCGUGUGCAUGAUGCUCUGUGGCUGCGUGUGCCCUACAGCAGCACGGUUCAGUAGGCAGAGGCCACUUCUACUACCCGGCUAAGGAAAAGAUGGGCAGAGCCUGCUCUGGAUGACGCUGUGUUCCAGCCGGCGGAGAGGGUCCCCCAUUUCCUCGGAACUAAUCCUCCAGGAAAUUAACAGACAGUUUGCUGUGGACAACUAGAGCCCUCCCCUUCCUUAGCCCUGAGCGAGGUAAACAAUUCUGCUCUGCCUUCCGGAAGUUUCAAAUUAGCUCUUCAACCAGCGUUUUCACGCAGCUUCCAGUCCUGCCACAGUCUUGAAGAAGAGAUCAGCUUUCGCGUCUUCAUUCUUGCCAAGAUUAGCUGCCCUUCGAAUCUCCCGUGUGUCAUUAAUCCCAGCACGAACAAGCACUUGGGAACUGCGGGCUGCAGAUGGUCUGCUUAUCCUACGGAACCCUCCUCUUUUGAGGCUUAAC